GUCAUUCAGGUAAUUUUGUCCAAGGUUUUAGGUAUGGAAUUUUGAUUUGGAUUGAUGUUGAGGCAAAACAUUUAAGUUGAUCUACUUUCAUCUAUGUCUAUAUUUUUUUGCAGAAGAACUCUCUUACUCACUCUCUCCCUCCCUCUAGGAGAUGAAGAUAUGUUCGGCCAUUAUCAAUCUGUUCCUUCUGAUCCCAUCAGCUCCUCAGACUCUGGUCAUGGAGUUUGAGGGCCAUGCUCAUAGAGGUACUCUCCCUGUCUCUUUCUCCCUCUGCUCCCCACCUAUCUACCGGAGCAGUUCCAGGCCAUCACGAUCAUCAGUAUCAUAGUGAACAACGAGAAGGGUUGGGCCAGUUAGGCCUUCCAGGAACAACACCGCACAGACAACAUGGUCGCCAUCAACUGGAAGGAGCCCAAGCUGCUGGCCUAAAGUCUGCUCAGCCACUGCAAGUAUGUACUAAAAAAAACACACCCACUGCUGUAAAUAUGCAUCAUUUGCACUACCACUUCAGUAUGAAACUGCCUGGGUUGGUCAAUACUUCUAAGA
rnacentral:lncRNA from 13 species